rnacentral:rRNA from 1 species
AUUGAACGCUGGCGGCAUGCUUUACACAUGCAAGUCGAACGGCAGCGGGGUAGUGCUUGCACUACUGCCGGCGAGUGGCGAACGGGUGAGUAAUAUAUCGGAACGUACCGAGUAAUGGGGGAUAACCAAUCGAAAGAUUUGCUAAUACCGCAUACGUCCUGAGGGAGAAAGCGGGGGAUCGCAAGACCUCGCGUUAUUCUAGCGGCCGAUAACUGAUUAGCUAGUUGGUGGGGUAAAGGCCUACCAAGGCGACGAUCAGUAGCGGGUCUGAGAGGACGAUACGCCACACUGGGACUGAGACACGGCCCAGACUCAGACGGGAGGCAGCAGUGGGGAAUUUUGGACAAUGGGGGCAACCCUGAUCCAGCCAUGCCGCGUGUAUGAAGAAGGCCUUCGGGUUGUAAAGUACUUUUGUUAGGGAAGAAAAGGGAGGUGCUAAUACCACUUUUUGCUGACGGGACCUAAAGAAUAAGCACCGGCUAACUACGU